rnacentral:lncRNA from 7 species
GUAUCAACAUAAUCCUGUUUGCCACAUGCCUGCUGGCCAGGGAACUUGGAGCUAUGGAACCCUGGGUAUUUACUAAAACAGGUUUUCUGUUGCUACUUUAGUCUUGUAAAAUGUUUCCCUUUCAUGCUGUUGGGUCAUUUACAAUUUUCUUAAUUAACAUGAAUCUCAAUCAUACGCCCUUUCUAUUAUUAGAUAUAUUUUAGGAGAAUAUUUUAUAUUGUAAUGACUAUAAUAAAAACAAGCAGCAUUGCUUAAGUGGAUGUACCCGUUUCAGCAAUGAUGGAAGUUAUGCUCUUUUAUUCUGUAGGGAAUAAUGGGGCAACCCUACGUAACAUGAGAGAGUUUUCUUUACCAUUGUUCUGAGAACUGUUUUUUUCCUAAAUACAUGAAAAACUGCAAAGCCAAACAAACCAACAAGCAAACAAACAACAAUAAUGACAAAAGAUGCCAUGAGUAGAUAGAACUAAUAAUGUGUGGUGAAAGAUGUGCAAACUGCUGCUCCUUAGUGGCACUCACAGUGACAGGUGUAGUCAUGCCACUCUGUUACAAACUGCUACUGAGAACUGUGGUUUGGAAUACAUCGUUGUUACACCAUAUGUUCAAAUGCUGCUGUUUUGGGUCAGAGUAAGGUCUGCACCAUUAACAGGUAUAAUACGAAAACAAAGGAAAACAAAGACCCCACAGCAAUGGCUGUUAGCACUCUAUUUCAAUUAAUAUCCAAAAGCAAAGCCAGCAGCAACUUGUCAUGCUAUGCAGUUGAUGGAUCUGCUCAGUGGGCCCAAAUCACAGUGAUUAUCUUGGAUUCACAGCUAAGAGGAAGAGUGUAGCAUGCUGCAACCCAUCAAGCUUAAAUUUUCAUUAAAUCAUCAGUUUCUAACUCUGGGAAUUAAAAAAAUGAAGAGUGAAGACAGCAGUCAACACGUUGUACUUGCAGAAUUUCAGAGGAAGCAUUGCUUCAAAGCAGUUUUCAAGCAAAUCAGUUUGCUUCAAAGCAAAGUGGGAACUGGACUACAGAGGAGAUGCCGAGUGUCACUUUGCUUGCUAAGGAAAAGCAGAGCAAUGAGACAGGCCCAUGAAUGUCUUGAUGAACUAGUGUGCUUUUGUAAAUAUAAAGCAUGGAAGUAAAUAAAUUCGUAAUGUUUGCUAUCAAUCAGAUGUUGUAGGCACAGUGCAGCAAACUGCGUGGCUCUGUUGCCUUGCAGCAGGAGAGCUAUCCUUUGUGUGUCACAGAAAGGUGGCUUUGUGCCACCUCAAACAUAUUUUUUCCCUGAGCUACUUGAUACAUCUACAGACAGGGCUCGGUGUUGUGCAGGUAUGUCGUCGUAGUUUGCAAAAGCAGUAGCGUAGCACUGUUCUCAGGUUAAUUAGCUCUGCCCUUCAGCAAGGAUUAGAAAAGAUUUGAAAGCGUGUAAAGCCAGGGAGGAUUCAAGAAAAGCAAAUAACCCAACUUCUGUGGCAGACUCCAUUGCCUGGGAUUGUAUGCAAGCAGGAUCUGUGUGAGCUGUGCUGAUAGACCUGAAAGUAAGUCAUUUAAUUUUAGGUAAACAUUUGCAAAUUAAUUCUUUGUAUUUGUAGUGUCAUUUGGG